CCUAUCUCGGGCCGCCGCGCCUAGGCCCGUGAGCAGCCUGUGGUGGGGCAUGGCGGCACAGCCACCGGCGUGCCCGCGAGGCCUCGGGACCCAGACCAGGAUUUCCAUCAGCUCCCCUGGCUCGCAGGCCUUCUGACUUCUGACUCACCAUCAGCUCUCCUGGAUCCAGCUUGCCAAUGGCAGAUCGUGGGACUCCUUGCCCUCUAAUCGCAUGAAACAAUGCCCACAGGGCAGGUCUCACUAUGUUGCCCAUUCUGGUCUUGAACUCUUGGACUCAAGCAAUCCUCCCACCUCGGACUUCCAAAGUGCUGGAAUCACAGGCUUGAGAUACCAUGCCCAGCCAAUUUAUUGUGAUGGUGAGCUCCUUAGAGGGAAGUAUAGUACAUAUUUCCUCCAUGUCUCCAGUACCCAACACAGUGCCUGACGUUGAGAGGGCUCUUAAUAAGUGUUUGUGAAAGACUGGUAGAGCAAUGCCCUAUGAAACAAGAAGCUGGAUAACACUGCUUAGGACUCAGAGGAGAGAGGAGUGUGGUCUACACUGCACAUCUCUGCCAAGCCUGGCACGGGAUUUGAAGUUCCACACCACUGAGCCAAACACAUCCAGACCCUCUUCCAACCCGGGGAUCUGGUGGUAAGCAAAAUACUAUUCCAGCAAGUGAUGCCCCCAGUCUCCUAAGGAUAUAAGAAACAGGAAGUUGUGUUUGGCUGCGGACAAACUCUCUCAGUGCCCCUGGGACUUACAAGAUGUUUGGAAUGAGGAACGGCAGCUCUCCCAAUGCGAGCUCAGCGGAGGCCCCCAGAAAAACGUGGGGAGGAGAGUUUUCCCCAUAAGACAGACUGUCCUUCAGCCCCGGCCACCAAAGAGGAGUAACCCGGGCCUGCUGUUCUCUGGGACUGAAUGCGGCUGCAUCCUUCCCUUCCUCUGCUUCCUGUCCCGGUACUUACUGACGGUGCACAUGCGGGGCUUGGGGAAGCUGAGUGUCUAACCGCGGUGCAGCUACGGAUGGGAAAUUCUGGGCAGGGACGAGCCUGUCUUCACCUGAGGAAUUCCCUCCCACAUCACACAGGGCAGAGUGGGAGUGGAGGAGGGCAGAGGACACGUCUCAGGGCCAGUAACCUAGGCUUAUAGAAGACGUCAUCACCGUCCUCAUGAUGUUCACCCCGUCUCCUGUUUUUUGGGGCCAUGUGUUCCGAAAUGUAGCUUCAACUCAUCAUAGGGGCAAAAAGAAGUGAUGAGUCUGUGGCAGCAGAAAUCUGGGAAUCCAAGGGUCGUGCUACAUCUAGUCCUCUUUGAUAAAUUCUGCCUUCCUGUUCACAUUUUUCGAGAAACCAUUUUGAAUUCCCAAACAGCAAAGGAAAUGCUGCAGGUUCCUGGAGGGACCUGGUGAUCUGGGGCAGAGCACACGGAGUCGAGAUUGCUGCGGGGUUCACGAGCCUCCCCUCCUGGGACCAGGGGCACCUGGGCAGGGUAGUCUGCACCACGCAGGAAAGCCCAGUACACGCAGCUGCUCAACGCUGCAGACGCCAUAGCGCAGGGCUGACAAGGCCUCCCUCUUUAUCUGCCCUGGACCACAAGUGGAAAAUAUCAAGACAAAGCAAAAGCCAGUAUCCCUUAAGAACUUUCCAAUUGUUCUUGUCAUUUGUAGUUUUGUUUUUUGGGGGGUGUGGGGAGGGAGGGGUGGUUUGAAACAACUCCGGAGCACACUCCAGAGGAAAACAGGAAGGGUGACAUGUUUGGACACCAGAAAAGAGGAAGAGUCCUCACUAAGAGGGUGACUUGGUUAAAAAGUUCAAGCACAAAGGAUGUAGAAGCAGGUGGAUGUCAUCAGAGAACAGAUGCGGAUCUAGUGAGAUGGGUCCUACCACCCCUGGAAUAUGUUCCUGGGAGAGGGGUGGUCUGCUAGAGUGGACUGGGAAUAGUAAUAUUGCAUACUUUUGUAAAUUCACAAAACCCUCUGAUCUGUGAUAGAGGAAUAAAGGGCAGAGGAUAAACCCCAGAUAAAGAUUCACUUAUCUUAAAAAUGAAAGGUUGGAAAUUAACUUUAUGCUACUGUACCACCUUCGAAGUAUUUCUGGCAGGUGCCUGGAGGAUUCAGAUUAAUGACCAAAUUACCUGCCAAGUCAGGGCCUCCCAUUAGAAGAGAGUACCAGUUUCCAUUAGGAGCACUAGCUGGAAAACACAAUCUUUCAGCAGAGGAAAUACAGUCUUCUCUCCUUCUCUGGGUGCACAGAGUGGUCGUGGUUGGCUGGGGCAGAUAAUGGUGUGGUCUUCCUCUGCAGAUCUGGUUUCUGAGUCCCUGGGCUGCAGCUGUUGAAUUUCCAGACACAAACAAGUAUGCGUUCUGAGAGCCUCGCCGAGCCCACACAACCGGGAGAGCCAAGCUGGAUUCCAUUCUGCUUUGCACAUCAGCAGCUCUGCUGCCAGCUGAACUCCAGGGCAAAAGCUGUGCCUGGUAAUGAUGCAGGCAGCAGGGAUGGCACAGCUGGCCUGGCUUAGGCCGUUAAGGGGGACACGCUUGGCCUUAUUUGGGGGAGAGCGAGAAAUGGAAGGCGAUGAAGAGUUGCGGAAGCAUACAUCAGCCUCCACAAAACUGGUGCACAGCAGGGAAACAAUCUGGUUUUGCUAGUCAUCAACAACAUGCCUGUGUGUGUGCCUGUUUAUGCUUAGGUAAGCCCAGCCUCCCACUCGCUGAAAAGAGUAGGCAGACAAGAAGGAGUGACCAACUCUGAGUCAGCUGUCAUCGUGUAGAGAGCAGCUAAGGGGAACAGUGGGGCUGGAAUCUCAUGGCCUUGCCUAGUGCCCCUACAGCAUCCUCUCUGCCCAUGGUGCCAGAUAUCUGAAUGGGAGGACAAAGGGGGCACAGGUGGUGAAAAAAACCAAGAUGCACAUUUGGGUAUUUUCCUUCUUUUGCUAGAAUGUCAUUUCUUGAUGUCUGUUUCUUGUCACCCAUUUGUGAUCAGGGACUAAGUAAGUUCCCUCUGCACCAGACCAGGUGGAAGACUGAGCCAGAGUUCCUCUGAGCCACAGGAGAGAUGAGGAGCUAUGGAGCGGAGUAGGGGCUGAGGAUCUGGUGCCCCCAGCUAAACUAAAAGGAGGCAGGCAGCAUGUAAGAGGAUGAUGGGGUAGCUCACAGAGAGGAAGGGGAUAUUCUUUCUCAAGAAUGAUGAGCCCAAAGGCAUCGCAUAACAAUUGUGAUCUCCCAGCUGGACGUUUCCUGUAGCACAGGUGUUCACAGUGUGGCUCCCAAACCAGCAGCCUCCAUGUCAGUCACUGGGAACUUGUUAGAAAUGCAGAUUCUCAGGCCACCCCAACCAUUAGAUCAGAAACUCUGGGGAUGGGGCCCCACAAUCUGUGUUUUCUUUUCUUUCUUUCUUUCUUUUUUUUUUUUUUUGAGACAGGGUCUCACUGUGUCAUCCAGGCUGGAGUGCAGUGGCAUGAAAAUGGCUCACUGCAGCCUCAACCUCCUGGGCUCAAGUGACCCUCCCACCUCAGCCUCCUGAGUAGCUGGGACUACAGGCCUGUACCACCAUGACCGACUGAUUUCGUUUUUUAAUUUUUUAUAGAAACAGGGUCUCGCCAUAUUGUCAUGGCUGGUCUUGAACUCCUGGG
rnacentral:lncRNA from 10 species